rnacentral:rRNA from 1 species
AUACGGGGGGUCCGAACGUUAAUCGGAAUUACUGGGCGUAAAGCGCGCGUAGGCGGUUUGGUCAGUCGGAUGUGAAAGCCCUGGGCUCAACCUGGGAAUGGCAUUCGAUACUGCCUGACUAGAGUAUGGUAGAGGAAAGUGGAAUUCCCGGUGUAGAGGUGAAAUUCGUAGAUAUCGGGAGGAACACCAGAGGCGAAGGCGACUUUCUGGGCCAUUUCUGACGCUAAGGUGCGAAAGCGUGGGUAGCAAACAGGAUUAGAAACCCCGGUAGUCC